CGUAUCCUUGACAUUAAUAAACCACUUCCUUUAUGUAACUGGCAAGCGAUAGGUACCGAUUACCGACACAAAACUGAAGUGAUAUUUUUACGUUUCCGUAAUAGCAGUAGGUAUAUAGAUAUGCAAUUUUUCCAAAUCAGAACCGUGCAACGACCUUCGCUUUUUAGAAUCAGCAACCAGCAUAAUGUGAAAUAUUUCGUGAUAACUCCGUUCCUCGUCUUCUAAAAAGCCAAAAUUUGGCGAAAUCUCAUUCCGCAAGCUCCCACAUCGUGCCGAAGUUGCUAUUGGUAUCAUUGAUUGGCAAAGGCCGCCACGCGACGUCAGAAUAAGUAGGGCUUAGAAAAAACUCUAAUCUGCUUACUAGAGGGCGAAUCACAGUGUUUAGACGGAAUCAUAUUAGGAAGGUUAUAAUCGUGCAUCAACAUGCGAUACAAGCGACGUGCGUCCACGGACUGGCGCUAGUAGGUGGCAAUAUCGAUUCGAAAGCAGACCAAGAAACGCUCUCGCUGGAAAAUCAAAGACUUCAGCAGGAUCGGAGCUUCCCUUGCAAGAAUCUGAAUUCCGGUCGGAAAUGUUGGGCGACGAGCAAUUACCUUGAGGUGAUGGGGUUAGUGGAACGAACGGGACUGAAGUGGCCGCAGAGGCGAGGGAUGUGGGGUACGGGCACACUGCAGGUGGAGGACUUUGAACUAUGGCAUUAGGGGGGAAGGGUCGGACGAUAGCUGACAUUUGGAGGAGGUGGGUUAUUCUACCAAGUGACCUGUGGAAUGCACGGGAAAUGGACGCGUUAAGUAGUGAUUAUGGUAAUGUCUGAUAACGCGUCAUGAGUGCAACUGGCAGAGGGUAGUAAACGACGAUAAUACUAAUUCAUGAAACUUUCAGUAAAUUAAUUUUUUCAUUUUUGUAGAAAUUUGAUGAUGUCAACUCCAAAAAUUAUUAAAUAAAGUUUUUAAGUAAA